rnacentral:misc_RNA from 1 species
GUGACUUAGAGAAACUACCAUGGAUAAUCGUUCAAUCAGCCUCAUAAAUUUUGUAUCUCUGCUUUUCCAUUUUCUUAUAAGCAUCUGCCUCACCAAUGCCUUGUACUGUUAUCAGACAGGAAACUUCACAACCAAUAGCACCUAUGCAAAGAACCGGGCUCUGGUCCUCUCUUCUCUAGCUUCAAAUGUCACGGCAAAUGGUGGUUUCUACACCGCCACAGUGGGCC